CCGGGGGAUGGUCAGGGAAAAAGCAUACAAGAAAGACCCAAACAAAAGUAAAAAAAUAAAAAAUAAAAAAAAUAAAGAACGAGAGAAAAGAGAGCAAAUUCUUGAACAGAAGAAAACAAUGGAGUUGGAGUUCUGAUUCUCCUCCACCAUCUCCACCGUACCAAUCCUCUCUCUCUCUUUUCUCUACCGCAUGCCCCAACGCACCACAUCUGAUCCUCGUUGCCCUUUAAUUUUUCUCCUCUGAUCUUGUUUCCUGUUUCUGAUUGUUUCCACUUCCGAAUCCGGCAGUUUUCCGAUAUGAACGACUUCGAGGACCUCUUACCCACUGAUUUGGGCUUCAAAUCACAGGGACAAUCCGCUCCAAUGACCUCCUCCAAACCCUCCUUCUCAUCUAAUUUCGGAUCGUCGCAUCCUCGCUCCUCCUCCUCCAAUUCUUUUGACGAUCGUGAUUCGGUGUUUACAUCCACCGGUCCACCCCACAGAUCCCAAGACUUCGGCUCCGGAUACGGCGAUCUCUUCGGUUCCUCGCGGUACCCCAGCAAAUCGGAGAGCUCCGCGGCCACCACGUCGUUCAAUUUCGAAACCUUUCGCGAUUCCGGUGCCACAAAGGCUUCGGCGACGCCGGUAUAUGAUAAGCCGGUGUAUGACGACGACAUUUUCGACGGUGUGCCUGGGCUGAAGAGCUCCUCGUCGAGGGCGAAGUAUGACGACGUUUUUGCCUCAGGUUCCGCAUCGUCACCGAAGGGGAGUGAUGCGCUUGAUGAUCUUCUAGCAGGGUUUGGGAAGGCGGAGCGUGAGUCAAAGGGUUCAGGCGUCAAGGGAUCAGAAAGAGAGGAGAAGGGUGUGCCGGUCGGUUUCGAUGAUUUGAUACCCGGGUUUGGUGUUACUAAUGUCCCUAGUGAAAGGCCAACUUCAGAGGCCAAAUGGUCCUCUGAACCAACUGUAAACCCAACUAGAUCAGCCACCAAUGUGAUGGAAGACCCCUUUAAAAUAUUAGAAUCAACUUCGCGUCCUGUGGUUUCAUCUCCUGAGCAUUUUGCUGACCCAUUGGAAGAAAUCAGUAAGUUCAGCAAUUCACGAAGCAUAAAAAAUGAGGGGGCAUCUGCUGCUAAUAGUGGGGAAGUUUAUGAUGAUACAGAUCCCUUUAAUGGCCUUGGGAAUCUACCGGCAUUUUCAUUAGAGAGGAAUAACAGGGUGAAAGAGAAGAGUCCUUUAAUGACAGAUAUGAGCACGGGUUGGAAUAGAACUUCCAUUAGUAAAGAUUCAAUUGAGAUGAAUUCUGUGAGAAGUCCUGAAAGCCACUUGCAGAAGAAUAUGCCAGUUGAAAGCGAUCAGUAUUCUCAUCAGACCAUGUUCGACAUGCCAACAUUUUCAACAGAUUCUCAUAAAUCUUUUGGUCAAACAAUUCCGCCCCCUUCCUAUUCUAGUACCAAUGAGGCAAAUGCUCAGGUGGAUAUGUCUCCUAGAGCUGAAGAGAAAUUGGAUUCAUUCGAUGAUGUAUGGCUGACUGUGUCAGAGAUUCCUCUUUUCACACAACCCACAAGUGCUCCACCACCUUCGAGACCCCCUCCUCCAAGACCCGUACAGGUUUCAAAUUCAAGAAAGAAGAUAAAUGAGCACACUUCAUUCCCAAAUUCAGCACAGUACACUCAAGGUCCCAAGUCAGCUCCUGCUGCAGCGAAGGACUCCGUUAAAUCUCCCUUUGAUGAACUAGAAGAUUUUGCCAUGGCCAGGAGUCAAGAUAAUGUUGAUGAACACACAAAUGGUCUUUUCAACGAAGAAUUGGGGAUGAACUCGGCUGCUGCUGCCAUGAAGGAGGCUAUGGAUAGAGCUGAGGCUAAAUUUAAGCAUGCAAGGGAAGUUAGGGAGAGAGAGAGUACAAAAGCUGCCAGAAGUAAAGAUGCUGUGCAGCUGGAAAAAGAUGAAAGAACUGCACAAGAUGAGAGAUCAGUAAGAGAAAAACAAGAGUGGUCAGACCGUGAUUGGUUGCAUGGGGAUAGGGAAGAGGAAGAAAGGGAACAGAGAAGAAUUGAGAAAGAGAGGGAAAAGGAGGAGAAGGAGAGAGAACAGAGGAGACUUGAGAAGGAAAGGGAGAGAGCAAGGGAGAUUGAGAGGGAAAGGGAAAAGGCAAGACAAGCUGUGGAAAGGGCUACUAGAGAAGCGCGUGAAAGAGCAGCUACUGGAGCUCGGCUAAGAGCUGAAAAAGCUGCUGUGGAGAAGGCAAAUGCCGAAGCUCGAGAACGUGCUGAAAGGGCCGCCGUCCAGAGAGCCCAAGCUGAAGCUCGUGAAAGGGCAGCAGCAGAGGCAAAGGAAAGAGCUGAAAAGGCUGCUGCAGAAGCCAGGGAAAGGGCUAAUACAGAAGCCCGUGACAGAGCUGCGGUAGCAAGGGCUGAGGCUGAAGCACGACUGAGAGCAGAACGAGCUGCUGUAGAAAGGGCUGCCACAGAGGCUCGAGAAAGAGCUGCAGCUGCUGCCAGGAUGAACCAACAAAAGAACGAAAAUGAUCUUGAAUCCUUCUUUAGCAUGGGCAGAGCUAGCAGUGCGCCAAGGCCUAGGGCUAACUCUUCGGACCCGUUGUUUGAUACCCAGUCUCAGAACAGGCAAGAUCCUGAAGUGGCGAGGAGAUCUGCCACGUCUUCCUCAAAUAUUAGGAAAGUAAAUUCUACAACAAAUAUUGUUGACGAUCUUUCUUCAAUUUUUGGAGCUGCUCCGUCAUCAGGAGAGUUCCAGGAAGUUGAAGGGGAAAGUGAAGAAAGACGAAGAGCUAGGUUGGAACGCCACCAGAGGGCCCAUGAGCGUGCGGCAAAAGCAUUGGCUGAGAAGAAUCAGAGGGACCUUCAAACUCAGAGGGACCAAGCUGAGAGACAUAGGAUUGCUGAAACCCUGGAUGUUGAAAUCAAGCGAUGGGCUGCAGGGAAAGAGGGCAAUUUGCGCGCUUUACUCUCGACUUUGCAAUACGUGCUCUGGCCUGAAUCUGGUUGGCAGCCAGUUUCUUUGACUGAUAUGCUUACAGCGCCCGCAGUUAAAAAAAUUUAUAGGAAGGCAACUUUGUGCAUUCACCCUGAUAAGGUGCAACAAAAAGGUGCCACUCUCCAGCAAAAAUAUGUUGCAGAGAAGGUGUUUGAUCUCCUAAAGGAAGCUUGGAACAAGUUCAAUUCAGAGGAGCUUUUUUAAGUUCUUUUGUGCAGGAUUUUCACUCGAGUUUAAUCUGUUGGUAACUGCGCCACUUGCUGGAGAGGGAGACGUUGUUUGGAGAAUUCUCACUCCGGUGUUACUGAGUUUUGAUUGAAGUUGAAAUGUAUCUACUGCUAAAGGAGGCUUCAUUUUAUAUAGCAACCGAGAUACCCGAUUGGUAUUCAAUUUUUCUACUUCCAUACUUGGUGUUCCUUCAGGGGUUAUUGCAGCUCCAAAGAUCUGUGAAUGAAAUUCAGAAUGCUUGUGAAUGUAGAAUAGCAUUUUCUGGGCAUCAUGCCCCAUGUCAAAUUUCAUUCUGUCGUCUUCUCACUUCCUUGAGCCUGUCAUCUCGCUUCAGUGAGAAGCUGUGCUUGAUUUGGUAUUGUGUUUUUUGUGUCAGCAGACCACAAUCCAUUAAAGCUUGUUUUAAAGUUUUAACUCCAUUGGCACCUAAAUUGCUGGCUAGUAGAGGAGCUACAGUUACCUUAAUUCAUAGUCUUGAGUGUUCAAGACUUCUUGUCUACUGAUGAACUGGGUAUAAGGCAUUCGGCAUUUAUGCUUUAUCUGAAGAGAUUAAACUCAAAGCAUCAAGUCACUCAACUUUAUUUGAUUUCUGAAAGAAAAACUGUCGGUACUGUUACGUGGCAUAAAUUUUGUAUACAUACAUUCUACAAAUUUCCAAGUACCUGACAUGCA